UACGUAGGGAGCGAGCGUUGUCCGGAAUUACUGGGUGUAAAGGGUGCGUAGGCGGCUGUGCAAGUCAGGCGUGAAAUGCAGGGGCUUAACCCCUGAGCUGCGUUUGAAACUGCACGGCUUGAGUGAAGUAGAGGUAGGCGGAAUUCCCGGUGUAGCGGUGAAAUGCGUAGAGAUCGGGAGGAACACCAGUGGCGAAGGCGGCCUACUGGGCUUUAACUGACGCUGAGGCACGAAAGCAUGGGUAGCAAACAGG
rnacentral:rRNA from 1 species